GAAUCAGAGAUAAGCUGCUGAAGUACUAAUCGGCCUUUUAACAUGUGCUAUAAGAAGUGGACACGCUAAAAUGUCCACAAUCUCUUUCAACUUACAGUUACAGUAGAAAUAUGAAGCAUGCCAACUUGCCAACAUGUCCUUGUUUCUUUGCAAUAUGCCACAUUAAUUAUGAAAUCAUAAUUUUUUGCAUAUCCAACUGGAGUGUUCAAACCUACAUUUUUGGAAGCUACAUAUCCAUUAUAUUAUAAUUAAUCAUGCCAAAACUGAUGAUAUGGAUUUGUUAGAAUAUAAAUCAUAUUUUUAU
rnacentral:misc_RNA from 1 species